AAACCAUAACGCCAACAGCACAGCAUUGUUUUAGAAAUUCAUAUUAGAAAACAGAGAUAGAAUAAAAUUGACUGACAGUGCAUGGAAUCAUCAUCAGACCUCAGAAGACAACCUCUAGGAGUUCUGACCACUAUCAAGGUCAUGAUAGGCAGUUUCAACUAUCCACUGAGCACAAAACAUGAAGUUUAAGAAUCCCUCAAAUUUUGAGAGGCUGAAAGAGAAGAUGUUUAGCUCUCUUCUCUCAGGCUUGCUAGACCAACUGAAUACCACAGGUAAGUCCAAUCCAUGACCCAUGGGCCACAUGCAGCUCAGAUCAGCUUAGCUUGCAACACAGCCUGCCUUCAGAAUAGUACUGUUUAAGCAACAACAUAAAGCAUGACAAGCUUUGAAACACUAGGCUGACUUGUGGAAACUUUAAUUUCAAUUCUCUUUGCAUCCUAUGUAUGCAUUAGAGCAGCGUAAUAUUUGAGACAUACAGGUUUGCAUAUGGGACCUUUGCUUCAUUCAAUACCCAAAACGAGAGCACUAUAGUAAGAAAUCUCUCAACCUGGUGGAGUAACCCUGAGAAGCAUCCCUGCUCAAGGGGAAGAUCCUGGCAUUCAGCCUGCUGCCACGCAAGAUGAGUUCAAGAGGCUCUGGGAUGUCUACUAUUUAUGGAGUGAGAUCACUGACUACCAGUCAUAUUUGCAUAAUUCAUUGGUGCAUGCUAUCUCCCCUGAAUUCACCUUGAGCCCAGUUCAGGUAUCAUGACCAGAUACAUCUAUCACAGCUAUCACUGAUAGUCAUUGCACAAGCAGAGUUAUGGGUGAAAGGUCAAGUUGGGGACUGGGGAGAUAGUACACCACUACAGCUACUUUGAAAAAAUAUUCAUUACAUGCAGUGACUGCAAGUGGUUUGGAUUUUGCAUUCAUUAUAGAUAACCCAAUGCAUUCAUAGUGGUAAAUCAGGCUACAGAAAUCAUUAUUAUUAAAAAUGUAGCAAGAAAUAAGCUCUCCAGGUCCCAUUACUACUACACCUCUUAGGGAGGAAUCAGUGUCCUCAACAGAAACCUGUCCAGUUUUCUCUUAAAAGCAUCUACUGGUGGGGAAUCCAUAAGCUCUCUAGAAAAAAACUCUCAGAGGACUUAACUAUCCUUACAGCAGAAGGUUUUCUUAAUGUUUAACCUCAGUCUCCUCUGCUGCAAUUUAAUCCCUUAAAAGUUGUCUAAAAAUCAUGAGAUUUAAAAAGUAAUAUCCCAUGGGAUCUUCACAUUAUUUGCCUUUCAGUGUUUGAUCCUUUCAGAUUAACCUUUAUAAAUGUUUCUUAGCAUCCAUGAGAACUUGAAAUUUACCUUCUGGAAACUGAAAGUUGAAUUUCUUGUGAAAUAAUUUUACUCCACAACCUGGGAUUUCAUUAAAAAAAUCACCCAAAAUUGCAGGGUAUGAAAUAAAAAUCAUAGAGCACAAACAAAAACAAAACCUG
ensembl:lncRNA